GACGAACGCUGGCGGCGUGCUUAACACAUGCAAGUCGAACGGAAAGGCCCUGCUUUUGUGAGGUGCUCGAGUGGCGAACGGGUGAGUAACACGUGAGUAACCUGCCCUUGACUUUGGGAUAACUUCAGGAAACUGGGGCUAAUACCGGAUAGGAGCUCCUGCUGCAUGGUGGGGGUUGGAAAGUUUCGGCGGUUGGGGAUGGACUCGCGGCUUAUCAGCUUGUUGGUGGGGUAGUGGCUUACCAAGGCUUUGACGGGUAGCCGGCCUGAGAGGGUGACCGGCCACAUUGGGACUGAGAUACGGCCCAGACUCCUACGGGAGGCAGCAGUGGGGAAUAUUGCACAAUGGGCGGAAGCCUGAUGCAGCAACGCCGCGUGCGGGAUGACGGCCUUCGGGUUGUAAACCGCUUUCGCCUGUGACGAAGCGUGAGUGACGGUAAUGGGUAAAGAAGCACCGGCUAACUACGUG
rnacentral:rRNA from 1 species